CGGCGAGUGGCGAACGGGUGAGUAAUACAUCGGAACGUGUCCUGUAGUGGGGGAUAGCCCGGCGAAAGCCGGAUUAAUACCGCAUACGAUCUACGGAUGAAAGCGGGGGAUCGCAAGACCUCGCGCUAUAGGGGCGGCCGAUGGCGGAUUAGCUAGUUGGUGGGGUAAAGGCCCACCAAGGCGACGAUCCGUAGCUGGUCUGAGAGGACGACCAGCCACACUGGGACUGAGACACGGCCCAUACUCCUACGGGAGGCAGCAGUGGGGAAUUUUGGACAAUGGGCGCAAGCCUGAUCCAGCAAUGCCGCGUGUGUGAAGAAGGCCUUCGGGUUGUAAAGCACUUUUGUCCGGAAAGAAAUCCUCUGGGUUAAUACCCCGGGGNGGAUGACGGUACCGGAAGAAUAAGCACCGGCUAACUACGUGCCAGCAGCCGCGGUAAUACGUAGGGUGCGAGCGUUAAUCGGAAUUACUGGGCGUAAAGCGUGCGCAGGCGGUGAUGUAAGACCGAUGUGAAAUCCCCGGGCUUAACCUGGGAACUGCAUUGGUGACUGCAUCGCUGGAGUAUGGCAGAGGGGGGUAGAAUUCCACGUGUAGCAGUGAAAUGCGUAGAGAUGUGGAGGAAUACCGAUGGCGAAGGCAGCCCCCUGGGCCCAUACUGACGCUCAUGCACGAAAGCGUGGGGAGCAAACAGGAUU
rnacentral:rRNA from 1 species